GCAAACCAUUACUUCUCAAGCGUAAUCUUCAUCCCCAUCCAUACAAUUUUGCAAUAGCUAUGAAAUUAUGACCAAAAUUGUUAGAAAUUUGAAUCUUAAAAAGCAUUAAUUAGAAGAAAGACUACAGAUCCUUGAAGAUGAAAUCUCUUCAUCUCAACCGACUAUUAAUAAAUAUUCAAAUGAAAUUAUUCAAAUCGAAGGUCCUGUGCCACUUUCACUCCAAUCUAUCUGACCUUCAAUUCAUCUUUGUCCAGCCAGUUCAUAACAAAACUUGACCACUGGAGUUCCCCGGAGUCUGUGUUAGCUUGUCUCGGGUGAGGUCUCUAGUACGAAAUGAGCCACUUCAAAUAGGACCAACAAUCUGCACGGUGAAUCCCAGCUUCUGUGAUAGAUCUUGGCUGGCGCCGAAAGGUCUUUACUGAUCUAUUCUAUGAAAAUUCUUAAUUAAUUCUGCACUUAAGGUGGAAUACUUGUUGAUGUUUUUGUCGGGUGGAAAGACCAGAUCCCAAGUUGUCCCUUAUUCUUUUUUUGACGUGAGGACGUAAUAGCAGGAUGGCUGGGAAUUACUUCUUCCUUCAUUACACUAUAAGUAGAGAGAAGAGGAACCCUUCUCCACAGCCCAGGCAGACUUCAAUUCUAUCGAUACAGCAAGAAAGCUCAACAUAUGUAUGAUGUAAAGGAUAAAGUUGGAAGCAGUAGUACCACUCCUGCCAUCUAUUCCUGCCUACGGAAGGAAUAUCAGAUUGGAGAUUCUCCUCGCAAGGUGGUCAAAAUGGCGUGAUGAGAACGAUCCUCUUCUGCACCCUAGUUUUCAAUGAGGGGCACCCGACGGUUGCCCGAACAUCUUCUUUAAAACCCUUGAACUUGGUCAUUAGAUAGCUUAAAAAGACUAAGGUCGAGAGAUACUGUUGAAAAACUAUCUCCAAAGACAUUGUAUCUACAAGUCGAAAUUAUUCUGAUACAAAAUUAACAGAUUCUACAGCUGUAGGGUAAGAAAAGACUUUAUAUGAAUUAGAACAUAAAAUUGGCGAUUGUCACAAGAAAAUCGAUAUUUCCUUGAACAUAGCCCUAAAUACAAAUCAUCUACUAAAAAGUUAGCUUUUCUUAGACAUAAAUAUCCUACAAUUUCUUUUAACUAUACCAUCUUCAAAGAAAAAGACCUUUUUUAUUUAGCUCUAUAGUUUGGCAUGAUAGACACUAUAAAUCUUUUAAACAGAUCUUUUAGAUUUUUUCCACCAAAACUUAAAGAGUUUCUUAGUCGAUUAAAAGAUUACCCUUUAAUUAUACAAUUUAUUUCCAGACCAAUUUUUGUAAAUAAUGGUAUAGUAAUUCCGGCCUAUCAUCAUAUUUCAAUCUACGAAGGAGUUAAAAGAUAUAGACCUUCUUCAAAGACCAAUAUCAAAAUAAAGAUUAGACAGAUUGAUUACGAAAGAUGGAACUCAUAAACCAUGGCAAUGAUGAAAGUUCAAGAACAAUAGAGUUAUUUUCUGUCAAGAACAUCUCGUUAUAAAAGUUAAAGCAGAAAAAAUUUCAGUACCAAAUAUUUAACAUAAAGAGCUAUAUAAAAUGGCUUUUCAAGAAACAAAUAAUGAAUUAUCAGAAGGACAAUC
rnacentral:lncRNA from 1 species